UACGUAGGGUGCGAGCGUUGUCCGGAAUUAUUGGGCGUAAAGGGCGCGUAGGCGGCCAUUCAAGUGACGGGUGAAAUCCCUCGGCUUAACCGAGGAACUGCCUGUCAGACUGGAUGGCUUGAGACCGGGAGAGGUGAGUGGAAUUCCCAGUGUAGCGGUGAAAUGCGUAGAUAUUGGGAGGAACACCAGUGGCGAAGGCGGCUCACUGGACUGGUAUUGACGCUGAUGUGCGAAAGCGUGGGGAGCAAACA
rnacentral:rRNA from 1 species